rnacentral:lncRNA from 1 species
AUGUAUCUUCGUUAAGAAAAAAAAAACAAAAGAGAAAAAUGCACUUGCCGAGACCUUAGACUCUAACAGAUAUAAAAUGCUCGGAAAAUUUGAGUAGAAAAAGAGUCAAAAGAGUUCUACCCCAGAGUAUCCGUGAUGCACGAAAAAGAGAAAAGAAAGAAAAAGUACACAACAUGACUACCGAGUUCAAAAACCCUUUGUUAUCCAUUUUUUUUUGUUUAUC